rnacentral:rRNA from 1 species
AGCAUAGGAAUCUACCUAGAUGUUUGGGAUAACUUGGGGGAACUCAGGCUAAUACCGGAUAAUCUCUACGGAGGAAAGCAGGGGACUUUCGGGCCUUGCGCAUUUAGAUGAGCCUACGUCGGAUUAGCUUGUUGGUGGGGUAAAGGCCUACCAAGGCAACGAUCCGUAGCUGGUUUGAGAGAAUGAUCAGCCACACUGGGACUGAGACACGGCCCAGACUCCUACGGGAGGCAGCAGUGGGGAAUAUUGGACAAUGGGCGAAAGCCUGAUCCAGCAAUACCGCGUGUGUGAAGAAGGCCU